rnacentral:rRNA from 1 species
GACGAACGCUGGCGGCGUGCUUAACACAUGCAAGUCGAACGGAAAGGCCCCUUUGGGGGUCCUCGAGUGGCGAACGGGUGCGUAACACGUGAGUAACCUGCCCUUGACUUCGGGAUAACUUCAGGAAACUGGGGCUAAUACCGGAUAGGAAUCCUUGCUGCAUGGUGGGGGUUGGAAAGCUUCGGCGGUUUUGGAUGGACUCGCGGCUUAUCAGCUUGUUGGUGGGGUAGUGGCUUACCAAGGCUUUGACGGGUAGCCGGCCUGAGAGGGCGACCGGCCACAUUGGGACUGAGAUACGGCCCAGACUCCUACGGGAGGCAGCAGGGGGGAAUAUUGCACAAUGGGCGGAAGCCUGAUGCAGCAACGCCGCGUGCGGGAUGACGGCCUUCGGGUUGUAAACCGCUUUCAGCAGGGGCGAAGCUUGUGGUGACGGUACCUGCAGAAGAAGCACCGGCUAACUACGUG